UACGUAGGGUGCAAGCGUUAAUCGGAAUUACUGGGCGUAAAGCGUGCGCAGGCGGUUGUGUAAGACAGAUGUGAAAUCCCCGGGCUCAACCUGGGAACUGCAUUUGUGACUGCACGGCUAGAGUGUGUCAGAGGGGGGUGGAAUUCCACGUGUAGCAGUGAAAUGCGUAGAUAUGUGGAGGAACACCAAUGGCGGAGGCAGCCCCCUGGGAUAGCACUGACGCUCAUGCACGAAAGCGUGGGGAGCAAACAGG
rnacentral:rRNA from 1 species